CCCUUAGAUGUUCUGGGCCGCACGCGCGCUACACUGAUGCGUUCAACAAGUUUCCUUGGCCGAGAGGCCUGGGCAAUCUUCUUAAUAUGUAUCGUGAUAGGGAUAGAUUAUUGCAAUUAUUAAUCUUGAACGAGGAAUUCCUAGUAAACGCAGAUCAUCAAUCUGCAUUGAUUACGUCCCUGCCCUUUGUACACACCGCCCGUCGCACCUACCGAUUGGAUGUUCCGGUGAAGCCUCGGGCUGAGGACUGGUGCCUUUAUUGGCAUGAGUUGUUCAGAACUUGUCUAAACCUUAUCAUCUAGAGGAAGGUGAAGUCGUAACA
rnacentral:rRNA from 1 species